UACAGAGGGUGCAAGCGUUAAUCGGAAUUACUGGGCGUAAAGCGUGCGUAGACGGUUAUGUAAGUCGGGUGUGAAAGCCCCGGGCUCAACCUGGGAAUUGCAUUCGAGACUGCAUAGCUAGGGUGCGGAAGAGGGAAGCGGAAUUUCCGGUGUAGCGGUGAAUGCGUAGAUAUCGGAAGGAACACCAGUGGCGAAAGCGGCUUCCUGGUCCAGCACCGACGUUCAGGCACGAAAGCGUGGGGAGCAAACAGG
rnacentral:rRNA from 1 species